CCGAUACCUAAGACUCCUUU
rnacentral:misc_RNA from 1 species